GAUGAACGCUGGCGGCGUGCCUAAUACAUGCAAGUCGAGCGAACAGACGAGGAUCUUGCUCCUCUGACGUUAGCGGCGGACGGGUGAGUAACACGUGGAUAACCUACCUAUAAGACUGGGAUAACUUCGGGAAACCGGAGCUAGUACCGGAUAAUAUAUUGAACUGCAUGGUUCAAUAGUGAAUGACGGUUUUGCUGUCACUUAUAGAUGGUUCCGCGCCGCAUUAGCUAGUUGGUAAGGUAACGGCUUACCAAGGCAACGAUGCGUAGCCGACCUGAGAGGGUGAUCGGCCACACUGGAACUGAGACACGGUCCAGACUCCUACGGGAGGCAGCAGUAGGGAAUCUUCCGCAAUGGGCGAAAGCUUGACGGAGCAACGCCGCGUGAGUGAUGAAGGUCUUCGGAUCGUAAAACUCUGUUAUUAGGGAAGAACAAAUGUGUAAGUAACUAUGCACGUCUUGACGGUACCUAAUCAGAAAGCCACGGCUAACUACGUG
rnacentral:rRNA from 1 species